rnacentral:lncRNA from 1 species
CUCAGCCAGCUCGACAGGCUCCCAUGCCUCAGCCGGCUCGACAGGUUCCCAUGCCUCAGCCGGCUCGACAGGUUCCCAUGCCUCAGCCGGCUCGACAGGCUCCCAUGCCUCAGCCGGCUCGACAGGCUCCCAUACCUCAGCUGGCUCAUCAGGCUUCCAUGCCUCAGCUGGCUCAUCGGGAUCCCAUGCCUCAGCCGGCUCGUCGGGCUCCCAUGCCUCAGCUGGCUCGACAGGUUCCCGCACCUCUCAGGCAGUUUACUCAUUAUUACCCACAACUGUCACCAUCGUUACGCGCACCUGGACUCCAUCACCUUCCUGAUGACCUCCCCUAUACCUGUCACUCCCCUUGGUUCUUUCCUGAGGCGUUAUUGUUUCUGUUUAUAUGUUUCAUGUCUGUACGCUACUCGUGUUUCUUGUUUUGUUCCAUGUUCGUUUAUUUAUUAAAUUCACUCCCUAUACUUGCAACCUGAUUAUUAGCGUACACGUUACAGAGACUAGUCAGGAUCGAGGGAAAGAUGAACGGAGCAAAGUAAGAGCGGUCCUUGAUGAAAACCUGCUCCAGAUCACUCAGGACUCCUGACUGUGGCGAAGGUUCACUUUCCAACAGGACAACGACCCUAAGCACACAGCCAAGACAACGCAGGAGUGGCUUCGGGACAAGUCUCUGAAUGUCCUUGAGUUGCCCGGACUUGAACCCGAUCGAACAUCUCUGGAGAGACCUGAAAAUAGCUGUGAAGCGACGCUACCCAUCUAACCUGACAGAGCUUGAGAGGAUCUGCAAAGAAGAAUGGGAGAAACUCAAAAAAUACAAGUGUGUCAUACCCAAGAAUACUCAAGGCUGUAAUCGCUGCUAAAAAGGUACUUCAACAAAGUACUGAGUAAAGGGUCUGAAUACUUGUAAAUGUGAUAUUUCAGUUUAUUUUACUAUAAAUUUGCAAAAAAAAUAAAAAACUGUUUUUGCUUUGUCAUUAUGAGGUAUUGUGUGUAGAUUGAUGACGGGAAAAAACUAUUGAAUCAAUUUUAGAAUAAGGCUGUAACGUAAACAUUUUUGGAAAAAGUCACGGAGUCUGAAUACUUUCCAAAUGCACUGUACAUGUAUUUCUGUCUGACUAAGCCUAACAUUCCUAGCCUGGUUAAAUCAUAUUGAACACUGUGCUCAUUGUUUCACUUCAAUGGUAAGUGCAGCAUUCAGUCUGGUUUAACCAGGCUAUAAGACCCCUAACCUAACCUUGUCUAUUGUCUUUUUUUCUUGCAGGUGAUGGCCCACACACACACACACACACAAUAACAUUCUUGCUACUUGGUUCUUCAUUGAUCAUAG